GGGCCCGCACAAGCGGUGGAGUAUGUGGUUUAAUUCGAUGCAACGCGAAGAACCUUACCAGGGCUUAAAUGUAAGUUGCAUAGAUCAGAGAUGGUCUUUUCUUCGGACUACUUACAAGGUGCUGCAUGGUUGUCGUCAGCUCGUGCCGUGAGGUGUCAGGUUAAGUCCUAUAACGAGCGCAACCCCUGUCGUUAGUUACCAGCAAGUAAUGUUGGGUACUCUAGCGAGACUGCCGGUGCAAACCGUGAGGAAGGUGGGAUGACGUCAAAUCAUCACGGCCCUUACGUCCUGGCUACACACGUGCUACAAUGGUAGGGACAGAGAGUUGCCAACCCGCGAGGGU
rnacentral:rRNA from 1 species